rnacentral:rRNA from 1 species
CAGUAGCCGCGGGAAAACGUAGGGUGCAAGCGUUAAUCGGAAUUACUGGGCGUAAAGCGUGCGCAGGCGGUUAUAUAAGACAGAUGUGAAAUCCCCGGGCUCAACCUGGGAACUGCAUUUGUGACUGUAUAGCUAGAGUACGGCAGAGGGGGAUGGAAUUCCGCGUGUAGCAGUGAAAUGCGUAGAUAUGCGGAGGAACACCGAUGGCGAAGGCAAUCCCCUGGGCCUGUACUGACGCUCAUGCACGAAAGCGUGGGGAGCAAACAGGAUUAGAGACCCCCGUAGUCCCUGUCUCUUAUAA